AAGACUAUACUUUCAGGGAUCAUUUCUAUAGUUUGUUAUUUUUAUUUAUUUAUUUGAGAGAGAGAGAGAGUGAGCACAAGCAGGGGAAGGGUGAGAGGGAGAGAGAGAAGCAGCCUCCCCACUGAGC
rnacentral:snoRNA from 2 species